ACAGCAGUCGCCGCGGGAAUACGUAGGUCCCGAGCGUUGUCCGGAUUUAUUGGGCGUAAAGCGAGCGCAGGCGGUUAGAUAAGUCUGAAGUUAAAGGCUGUGGCUUAACCAUAGUACGCUUUGGAAACUGUUUAACUUGAGUGCAGAAGGGGAGAGUGGAAUUCCAUGUGUAGCGGUGAAAUGCGUAGAUAUAUGGAGGAACACCGGUGGCGAAAGCGGCUCUCUGGUCUGUAACUGACGCUGAGGCUCGAAAGCGUGGGGAGCAAACAGGAUUAGAGACCCCAGUAGUCCCUGUCUCUUAUACA
rnacentral:rRNA from 1 species